UGUCAGGAAAUCAUGGGUUUCCUGCUGAAUUCCAUAUUAGGAUCAGUGGGGCUCGUGAAGGGCUGCAAACAAUAGAAGCUCUGUGUGUGUUUAUACUUUACAGGAACUCUGCCAGGAUGUGGAAGAAGAAAAACACUAGAGGUCUCACUGCAGACUGCAGUUCACCAGCUUCCUGCUCCAAAAGAACCAUCUGGACAUCAUCGUCACCCUUCUCUGAGGAGCACCCACACAUAAAAGAAUUCUUGGAAUGCUGAAUGGCUGUUCUAAUUUCCUUGUUAAACUACAGGCAUGGGGAUGAAGAAAACGCUCAGCUGCCCUCACCGAGUAAGCAAAUAUGUGACAUUUUAUCAGCUAUUGUUUAUGUUCAACAAUUCUGCAGUUAAGAACCAAACUUCAAGUAGUAUAAUAUGAACUUAAUAUGUCACUGACAUUACAUGACUUUGACCUUUUAAUUGUUUGUUCUUGUCCAUUCCAGGUUAAACUUCCUCUGGAAUUAGGUACCUGUUACCCUAUUCUAGCUACAUUGUGUUUAGAAAGCAAGGAUUGUGAUUUCUUAUCUGCAUGAAGAAAGAUAUAAAAUCGGGGGAACAAAUUAAGAUGCAUCUAAAGCUUAACCUCCACACAGCAGCCUUCUCCAAUCUGGUACUGUCAGUGUGUUGGGCAUACAUCUCUCAAACUUCCAUGGCAGAGUAGCCACUGACUAUCAGAGAUGGAAAUCUUUAAAGCUUUUAGAAGCUAUUCCAAUAUGGUGCUUUUUCUCUGAUCUAAAGGCAGAUGCAGUUUUAAACCUUUCAUGGAUGUACGCUGAAUCCCCUUCUGAGCAGUUGUUGACUUUACUGGGUACUUUCCAUUGAACGAGAUAGCAGGUUACUCCUAAAGCUUCUGGUAUCAUCACAGGAGGAAGAAGUGCAACGGAAAACAACCAGCAAAGCUUUCAAUUGAUUGGUGGGACAGGGAAGUUCCUCAGUUUGCUUCUCAUGCCACAUCUGGUAAGGUCCUAAGUUUUGCUCUGGGAUGCUUGCUUUUUAAAUGUGGAAGUGUUUGUUGUAGGUGUGGUAUGAGAUAGGAGAACUUCUUUUAUUAAGCAGCAUAAAAGUGAAAGAAAAACAUAUGUUUGCUUAGACAAUUCCCCAGUUUACCAUUUGAGUCAAGAAACAGGCUUACUUCGGCUGAUGUCUGCACAGUGAAUUGAUUCACAGGCCCAGCACCCGCCAGUAAAUUUCUUCAUAUGAACACAGUCAGUAGGACAACUCCUACGUUAGCUAUGUGUAUGGAUAUAGUAGAGUGUUCAUACUUAAUAUGUUAGAGUUGGGUAUUUAGGAUAGUAUUUCAUUAAAUGAGAUUAUGGUAUUUUUUUUCCAGGCAUUUGUUUGAAAAGGGAGUCUCCCCUUUGAAAACAGAACAGUAUAUAAAAAUUAAAUUGCUCUUUACCAGCUCAAUCCAUACAUCUGUUAAAAGUCAGUUUUGAUGUAAGCACUUUGGUGUCUCCGGUCUGGACUAGGCUGUAAGAGUUUUCUAAAAGAAUUUCCCAAACUCUCAGGGAUAGAGGUACACAUCAGACAGCAUUGGUCUAACUAAAGAAUUCUCCCUUCCUCUUUCAUGAUAAAAGAGAAAUCAUGACUAACAACAGUAUAAAUAUAACAGCAUAAAACCAUAAGAAAAACUUUGCUGGAUUAUACUAAAGGCCUCUCUUAUACAGUCCUGCAGCAUAAAUGCCUAUAAUGCCAAUGCAGCCAUUUUCAUUUCUCAUCAUGUAUCUCCUCAUAUAUAAGAAAUUUUUACAGUUUUCCAAAAUGUAUUUAAUUAUUAAUGUGAAUUCACUGAGAAAUAUUUUUUUAAAUCCAAAUUUCUAUGAUGUAAUUCUUUUUAAAGGAAAUUUUCCAACCCUAGAACAUAAAAUUCCCCUAUGUUUAGCUGCAGAAAUGAUCACUUUUUGAAUGCAGCUUUCAGAAACAUACAGGCUUUUCUGAUGUUUCUCUCACAAACAAAAUGUUUUUUGUGUGUGCAUGGAUCUUUGACCUGAGAAAAACAGAGGUUAAGAUUCUGUUCAGUGCAGUUCUCUGCAAAAAUUAGAAUUUUUUUCCCACAGGAGUUCAUGGCAGAUUUCUUAUUCCUCCUUUACUCUCUAGGGAUAGUAAAGUUUCACCCCAAAUAUUGAAUAAAGAGUUCUUAUUUCUCUGAUUAUUUACUUUAUCAAGGUUUCAAUCAUUUUAACCAUUAACUGAAAAGAAACAAAAACCCAUAAACCCAUUCAUCAGAAACAAUGCUUCUUAGUAAUCAGGAAUUUCUAUUUCACUAGGUUCAAGCUGCUUGUUCUUGGGUGAUUAACCCACUUAUGAUCUGAGAAAUGUGUUUUCAAACAAGCUUGAAUUCUCUCACUGUGUAGCAGAGAAUAACUUUCUUCUCAAUUCAAGCAGGGCCUUUGAAAGGGAGAUUAAUCCAAAACCACAUUAUUACAAUGGAAUGUAACAUCCAAAACUAAGUUUCUGUGGCCAUGUGUAGUAUUAGCUCAUCUUUUAGGGGAAGGCUUAGGCAAGGCUGCACACUAAUUUUGCUUUUGAUUUCUGUUAAUAAAAGAAGAAAGAAACAUCGUAUUGCUGAAUUCUGA